rnacentral:rRNA from 1 species
UACGUAGGGGGCAAGCGUUAUCCGGAUUUACUGGGUGUAAAGGGAGCGUAGACGGCAGAGCAAGUCUGAAGUGAAAGCCCGCGGCCCAACUGCGGGACUGCUUUGGAAACUGCCCGGCUAGAGUGCUGGAGAGGUAAGCGGAAUUCCUAGUGUAGCGGUGAAAUGCGUGGAUAUAUGGAGGAACACCGGUGGCGAAAGCGGCUCUCUGGCCUGUAACUGACACUGAGGCUCGAAAGCGUGGGGAGCAAACAGG